GGAAAGAAAUUCCACAAAUUCACUUUUAAGAAGGCACACCUUAAUUGAAAUACAUUGCAGGUGACUACCUCAUGAAGCUGGUUGAGAGAAUGCCAAGAGUGUGCAAAGCUGUCAUCAAGGCAAAGGGUGGCUAUUUGAAGAAUCCCAAAUAUAAAAUAUAUUUUUAUUUGUUUUAACACUUUGUUUUGUUGUUUUGUUUCCUUUCCACGAUACUAAUGAAUAUCGCAAAACGUAUAAUGUCCCAGCCCUACUAACCAUGUGCACAGUAGGCCUACAGAUAUCAAUUCCUAGUAAUACCAAUUUUAAAUGGGCUCUACCCAGUGGGCAAAAUUGUCAGUGACUGCCUGACUGCACCACAAAUAACAUCAGUAUGAUGUUUUUAUUUCACCUUUAUUUAACUAGGCAAGUCAGUUAAGAACAAAUUCUUAUUUACAAUGACGGCCUAGGAACAGUGGGUUAACUGCCUUGUUCAGAGGCAGAACGACAGAUUUUUACCUUGUCAGUUCGAGGAUUCAAUCUAGCAACCUUUCGGUUACUGGCCCAACGCUCUAACCACUAGGCUACCUGCCACCCAAAUUGUGCCUGCUGGCUUGUAUAUUUUUCAAUUAUAGCCAAGAGAGAGUGUAGUCUGCAGUUCAGAUUUCUUUACUUCUCUGCCACUGACUGCAAACUUAUUUUCCUGCUGCAUUAACGUGUUCUAAAUUACAGUGCAUAGUCAAAUCAAGGUUCUCCUUGGCAAAAUUACAUGAAGGUCACUGCAAACCAAGUUAUUAUGAAACACAACCCAAUCACUUUGAAGGUUGGUUGUGUGUAAUUAAAUAAUAACAGUAAUUAAUAACAAUGAAAACAUGAUCCCCUCUCAAGAAUUGUUUUCCACAAGCAUGAUUAAAGCAUAAUUAAACUGGUAAAGUUAGCAGUUGGUGGCAGUGUAACAAAUGCAGUCUGUAGGUCUGCGGUCUGUGGGCACACACCACAAAAAAUCAACUGACACUCGACUUUUCGUACUAGCACUGACUUUGCUGAUAGCUACUUUAUUGAGGGAAAAUGUACUGACUAUGACUGAGAUAUAUGGUUGUCUCACCGAGCCAACAUAAGAUGAAUGCACUAACUAACUGUAAGUUGCUCUGGAUAAGAGCAUCCACUAAAUAACUGAAAUGUGAAAUGUAAAUGUAAACAGUCUCUCAAGUUCCAUAGAAUACUUUCAAGGUAGGGAAUCAUCUAAUGUUGUUAAUUUGGGUGAACUAUCCCUUUACCAAGCCACUUUUGGCUCCAGGAAUGAAUGAUUUGUUUAUCUCAUCUUUGAUCGAAAAAUGUAUGUUUUUUCUCACAGAAAAUGAGGACAACACUACAGCGAAAACACUGGCAAAUCAGCCAUGACAAAGGCCUUCACCAAACCGAAGGGCCACAGUAGGGAUGGCGUCCCAGUCCCAUCACCAAGAGCACGGCUGAUCCAGAGCCGAAUGUCCCAGAGUGCAGAGUUUGUGAUGGAGGAGCACAUGCAGCUCAGCACUGGACUGCAGACCCAAGAGAGACACUUGUUCCUUUUCAGUGACACACUCAUCAUCACUAAAUCAAAGUCUUCCUCAAGCCUCAAACUGAAGUAGAGUGUGAGGCUGUGUGAGAUGUGGUUGGGUUCUUGCAUGGAAGAGGUUGCUGAGAGAAAACUGACCUCAAAGAACUCAUUUGUCAUGGCUGGCCUACUCUCAGACAACUGUGAAUGUGGACAAUAAAGACAACGAUGACAAAGUCAUCAGGAUCCUCACCCAACAGUUAAGACUCACUGGCAGACCCACUGACUACCGGUUCUGGGUUGUCUCAGGGAGAGAGGAAGCCCCAUACCCUCUUAUUGGUGAGGAAAUGUGUCAGAACUAUCACUUUGCACUGAAACAGACCUCCAAACACAGUCAGGAUGGAGGCACACUUGGCUUGGCUCUGGUUUUGGACCAUAGUGUUUCUGUGUAGGCAAGGGAUUACCCAAAGCAAACCAAUAUUUCAGUUGGGCAGGUUUUUGGUCCGUACUCAUCCAUGGUGUGUUCACGUGUAGGGUUUGUGACUUGAAACUGUAAUCUGACGACAUGGCUACAGGAGCCUCUCUAGAAAGCCAAGGCAUAUUUAAGAGUCUAGGGGAUCGGAAAAAAGGAUUCAUGAGGGCCUUUGUGUGUCUGGAAGGAAUGCCUCAUACAACUGCAUGCUAUUCUGUCUAAAGGGCACAUACCUCAUUGUCUCAAGUCAAUACUGGUAGAAAAUAAUAUAAUUUAGUCAAACCUCAUUUGAAUCAGCAGCAACAAAAUGUACCCUGAGAAUUGUAGGUGAUUUCAGUUCAAAAGAAAAUUGCAAAGGAUUGGUAAGACUGCAACCAUGUUUAUCUAAUAUAUGCUUUAAGCCCAUGUAAUUGUAAGGGGCGUGUGAUUCAACAUGUUUCUAGCAUCAUUUAAUUGCUCCUUUAAAUUCUCGACUCCUUGCCUUUUGACUCCUUCCCAUUCCUUUCAAUUUUGUUGGUUUAUUUGAAUAGAUAGUAAGCUGAUGACAGAUUACCAGGCUGGAUUCAAACCUACAUGUACCAGGAGCAACAGCACUAACCACUUGACCAUACAGGCCACAUCAUCAUUCAUGAUUAAACAGAAAUGGUAGAAGCAGUGAGUGAAUGCAUUCUCCAAUUCUACACAAAAACCUGAUUUGAUCAGAUCUACAUGUGUCAUGUCUGUCAGGUCAUGAGCAUCCCUUCAGUAUUAUCCUAAACUCCUUGAGGGAAACAGACUGCCAAGUCUCAGCAGUCACCAACAACAUCCUGACUGUAGAUGGGAGUCUCUACCUUGAGAGAGAGAGAGACACUAGCAUAUAUUGAUUUUUAACAAGUUCUAUUGAUAUACACAACAGGGAUAGAAAAUAAAAUUUUCUUCAGUGCAUUUUGUUGAACUUUUUCGACUUUUUACACAUCAAUUAUCUAGCCCUCUUUACGGAAGUGGUUGACUUAGAAUGGAGAUAGUAAAUAACUUCCUGUCACGCUAGCACAUGUAGUUCUACAGACGUUAUCGGAAUCUGCUUCCUGUAAUUUGGAUAAUUAGUGUUUUAAAUGUGCCAUUGCUUGUUGGAGGUAUAGCACACAGUCUCUCUGUCUUAACACAACACUGUGGGAAAAUAAUUAUACAAAUUAUUUUGUAACUAAGCUUUUUGCUGCUCUUUAAAAUUAAUAAUGUAUUCUCAAAUGCCAAAUAAAUUAUUCAGCCAGGUCUUUUGGUAUACACUGAAAAAACAGGUAUGGUGAUUUAUCUGCAUUGUGCCUUUUAAGGGUGUUUUCAGUAGUUGCCUUGUAAUGCAAAAGUUUUCUAAGAAACAAUUUAUGGCAAGACUCAAGUAUUUUAUUUUUUCCACCAGCCAUCAGUGCUCACAUCCAUGUCUUCCCAUGUAUGCCUUUGUAGCUGUAUUGUCCAUGUCUGUAUCUGCAUACUCAGAAAACAAGGUUCAUCAAUGCUUCUUUGCAAAGGUGAUGGUUCUAUGUGCAACCAUAAUGACACUUUCUUCUUUAAAUUAUAAUUAACAUGUAGGAACAGAGGCUCAUUCGAAUAUUUUGGGGUGUGGUUUGCUCACUGCUCCUUUUGUGCAACGGGAGUGCCAUUCCAGUUGAUUUGUUGUGUUAUGCCACUACAUUUUUUGUAUCACUUCGGUGCAAUUUUCACAAGUAUAUGGUAUAUUUUCACAACUCUAAGCUCAAAAAUCUUAACAGAUCAUCAAAAUGGCUCAUUAAGCACAUUUUCAAUUGACUGAGUACAACAAACAAAAUUAGUCACUUGUUCACUGUACCAAAUUACUCUUUCAAUUUGGACACAGAUUUAAUCUAAGUCUCUGCAAAACUCACUUUACUUUUGAUAUGAUUUUCUUGUCAUUUGUUAACAAUACAAUUAAAUGUCACUUAAUUAAACUGAUCAAAACGGAUAACUACUGAACCAAAACUAGGUAGUACCUAGUUAAUGUACAGUACCAGUCAAAAGUUUGGACACACCAACUCAUUCAAGGGUUAUUCUUUAUUUUUACUAUUUUCUACAUUGUAGAAUAAUAGUGAAGACAUCAAAACUAUGAAAUAACACAUAUGGAAUCAUGUAGUUACCAAAAAAGUGUUAAACAAAUAUUCUUCAAAGUAGCCACCCUUUGCCUUGAUUACAGCUUUGCAUACUCUUGGCAUUCUCUCAGCCAGCUUU